AAACAGAGGUGGAAAUGAUUAACUCGGCUGCUCGGUAAUGUGAAACAAGAACUUUGCUCGGAUUGGACCGAAAAAUCUAUGGAGCUUAAACGGAGAAAUACGACUACCUUGCUUCGAUGGGGAUGUAAUAAGAUUGUUGUGCAUAUUCCUCAUUGGGGAUACAUAAAAGUUGAUACAAAUACUUUUUGGAAAAUAAUGAGGAGGAAGUUUGGGCAAACGCAUAUUUGAAGACAUGUUAUUGACACAUCUU